rnacentral:rRNA from 1 species
AACGAACGCUGGCGGCAUGCCUAACACAUGCAAGUCGAACGAGACCUUCGGGUCUAGUGGCGCACGGGUGCGUAACGCGUGGGAACCUGCCCUUAGGUUCGGAAUAACUCCCCGAAAGGGGUGCUAAUACCGGAUAAUGUCUUCGGACCAAAGAUUUAUCGCCUUUGGGUGGGCCCGGGUUGGAUUAGCUAGUUGGUAGGGUAAAAGCCUACCAAGGCGACGAUCCAUAGCUGGUCGGAGAGGAUGAUUAUCCACACUGGGACUAAGACACGGCCCAGACUCCUACGGGAGGCAGCAGUGUGGAAUAUUGGACAAUGAGCGAAAGCCUGAUCCAGCAAUGCCGCGUGAGUGAUGAAGGCCUUAGGGUUGUAAAGCUCUUUUACCCGGGAUGAUAAUGACGGUACCGGGAGAAUAAGCUCCGGCUAACUCCGUG